AUUGAACGCUGGCGGCAGGCCUAACACAUGCAAGUCGAACGGCAGCGGGGGAUAGCUUGCUAUCCUGCCGGCGAGUGGCGGACGGGUGAGUAAUGCAUGGGGAGCUGCCCAGUCGAGGGGGAUAACAACUGGAAACGGUUGCUAAUACCGCAUACGCCCUAAGGGGGAAAAGUGGGGAACUUCGGUCCUACCGCGAUUGGAUGCGCCCAUGUGGGAUUAGCUAGUUGGUGAGGUAACGGCUCACCAAGGCGACGAUCUCUAGCUGGUCUGAGAGGAUGACCAGCCACACUGGAACUGAGACACGGUCCAGACUCCUACGGGAGGCAGCAGUGGGGAAUAUUGCACAAUGGGGGAAACCCUGAUGCAGCCAUGCCGCGUGUGUGAAGAAGGCCUUCGGGUUGUAAAGCACUUUCAGUCGGGAGGAAGGGGUGAUGGCUAAUAUCCAUCAUCAUUGACGUUACUGACAGAAGAAGCACCGGCUAACUCCGUGCCAGCCGCCGCUGUAA
rnacentral:rRNA from 1 species